rnacentral:lncRNA from 1 species
GAGUAAAGCAUUUAACUCUUGAUAAUUACACACUUUCUGCAUAAUGCAAUUAGUGUCAACUCAUUCCAAAUUACUCUACUAGAAUAAUAAAACAUUUCAGCCAUUGUAUUGAUGGAGCUACUAAUCCAGAAUAUUCACAAUAAAUAUAGAGUUCAAGGCAAUUAAGAGAUGUACCUCUUAAAGCUAUGCAUAUUCUCUAUCUUUCUAAGACAAUCUUUAAUUCAUAUAGUUCCACCCCCUUUGAAUUCACAAACCAAGACUUUACAAACAAAGGCCUUAUAUCAUUAAUCUUAAUACCUUUUUACCAAAAAAUCACUAUAUUCAUAAAUAAAAAUCACAAGUUAACGUUUUAACCUCGUGUUGGGUCAUUAAUCUUAAUACCUUUUUACCAAAAAAUCACUAUAUUCAUAAAUAAAAAUCACAAGUUAACGCUUUAACCUCAUGUUGGGCUGUCUUAGUUUUCACAUGGCAGAGGAAUCUACGAUAAUGUGUAUGUUUUCCUAAGAAGAAAAAGGAACAAAAAAUAGGGAAAGGAAGCCAAGACUAAGAAAUAAUUAUUCAAUAAGCUGAAAAAUUAUCAUAUAUCAUGCAUGUUUUACACAAUCCCCUUAUAAAGUUAAAAAAAAAAACUACUUUAUUUUACACAAUCAAACGAUUUUAAAUAUUUGACCAGGAAACAUAACUUAGUAGGACAAGAAUGCAGCUAAAUUAUGAAAACCAUUUUGCUUGCAGAUAUUAAUUAGACAUUUCAGUUUUUCUUUUAUUUUUCACAAUUUAUCAGAAAUUAAACACACAUUCGUUCGGCAUUUUCACAUAAGCCAACCAAACCCUAACCUCUGGAAAAUUUGGUCACCUUUUAGCUUCAAGUUCAAAUAAUAAAUAACAUACAAAGUUCAAAAUACAAAAGUUAUCCAUCCUCUGCUUCAACCAAAAAUUCCUCCACUAAUUCGCUCCAGGAAACAUUAUUUGAAAAUAUAAAAUGAAAACCAAAAUUGCACAUUCAAAUGCAAAUAAUUUAAUGACAAAAAAAAUGUGCAAAUAUGGUAAAUGAAAGGAAAUAUCUGAAAAAGGAGACUCCAUCACAGAUCUACGAAACGAAACUCCAAAACAAUAUCGGCAUUGUCUCGUCAAAGUCUGUGACUCUCAUCGAUCCAUAUAACACAACGAAACAACAAAAUUUAACACGGGAAAAAAAAAGGGAAUGUAUAAGCAAAUAUCCGAGAGAAUAGAAGAAAACCGAGCUUACUGAGUUACUUGGAGCUCCAAGACUUUUCGAAGAUCGAAUUAGCAGAAGAAAACAAAACUUCAGCUAACAAGAAAUCUCGAGAAGUCGAAGCGAGAGGGGUGGUGUGCACUCGAGUAGGGUGAGCAAAAUGUGGAGAUCUAAAGCGGGUCUUGUGAGCUUGUGGCAUAGCGGCGUGGUGGAUGUUUUGCAUAAUGUAGAUCGUUAGGGUUUCGUAUGGUAUGGGUCUUAGAAUUUGAGCAGUGGUGUUAGGAUUUCUUAUGGCAUGGACCCUUGAAUUUUAGGGCUCGAAGUUUUAGAGGUAUGAAGAAGAAGAAUGAUAUCGCCAGAGAGAUGAGGCGGCUGGCCAUGGAUUUAGGAGUUAGGGAAUUUUAUGUUUA